rnacentral:rRNA from 1 species
GCUGGCGGCGUGCCUAACACAUGCAAGUCGAACGAGAAAGUGGAGCAAUCCAUGAGUAAAGUGGCGCACGGGUGAGUAACACGUGACUAACCUACCCUUGAGUGGGGAAUAACUUCGGGAAACCGAGGCUAAUACCGCAUAACACCUACGGGUCAAAGGAGCAAUUCGCUUAAGGAGGGGGUCGCGGCAGAUUAGUUAGUUGGCGGGGUAAUGGCCCACCAAGACGGUGAUCUGUAUCCGGCCUGAGAGGGCGCACGGCCACACUGGAACUGAAACACGGUCCAGACUCCUACGGGAGGCAGCAGUGGGGAAUUUUGCGCAAUGGGGGAAACCCUGACGCAGCAACGCCGCGUGGAGGAUGAAGUCCCUUGGGACGUAAACUCCUUUCGAUCGGGACGAUUAUGACGGUACCGGAAGAAGAAGCCCCGGCUAACUUCGUGCCA